rnacentral:rRNA from 1 species
GACGAACGCUGGCGGCGUGCUUAACACAUGCAAGUCGAACGGAGAGGCCCUGCUUUUGUGGGGUGCUCGAGUGGCGAACGGGUGAGUAACACGUGAGUAACCUGCCCUUGACUUUGGGAUAACUUCAGGAAACUGGGGCUAAUACCGGAUAGGAGCUCCUGCUGCAUGGUGGGGGUUGGAAAGUUUCGGCGGUUGGGGAUGGACUCGCGGCUUAUCAGCUUGUUGGUGGGGUAGUGGCUUACCAAGGCUUUGACGGGUAGCCGGCCUGGGAGGGUGACCGGCCACAUUGGGACUGAGAUACGACCCAGACUCAUACGGGAGGCAGCAGUGGGGAAUAGUGCACAAUGGGCGGAAGCCGGAUGCAGCAACGCCGCGUGGGGGAUGACGGCCUUCGGGUUGUAAACCGCUUUCGCCUGUGACGAAGCGUGAGUGACGGUAAUGGGGAAAGAAGCACCGGCUAACUACGU